rnacentral:rRNA from 1 species
CAAGACAACUUUACGGAGUUGACGAUUGACGGAGCGAAGCGACGUCAAAGCGUUCAUUAAAGUCGAGUUGGCUUAGGGAUACGUUCGUUGGGUAGGGGAGCGUUCUGUAAGCCUGUGAAGGUGUGUCGUGAGGCAUGCUGGAGGUAUCAGAAGUGCGAAUGCUGACAUAAGUAACGAUAAAGCGGGUGAAAAGCCCGCUCGCCGGAAGACCAAGGGUUCCUGUCCAACGUUAAUCGGGGCAGGGUGAGUCGACCCCUAAGGCGAGGCCGAAAGGCGUAGUCGAUGGGAAACGGGUUAAUAUUCCCGUACUUGGUGUUACUGCGAAGGGGGGACGGAGAAGGCUAUGUUGGCCGGGCGACGGUUGUCCCGGUUUAAGCGUGUAGGUGUGUGUUCCAGGUAAAUCCGGUUCACUUUAACACUGAGGCGUGACGACGAGGCACUACGGUGCUGAAGCAACAAAUGCCCUGCUUCCAGGAAAAGCCUCUAAGCAUCAGGUAACACGAAAUCGUACCCCAAACCGACACAGGUGGUCAGGUAGAGAAUACCAAGGCGCUUGAGAGAACUCGGGUGAAGGAACUAGGCAAAAUGGUGCCGUAACUUCGGGAGAAGGCACGCUGACACGUAG